rnacentral:lncRNA from 1 species
GUAAGAGUUUAAUUCAUAAUUUAUAUGCAAACAAUUAUGUUGCAUCAUGUUUGUAUGUAUUAGUAUUCUUAUUCAUAUAUGUUAUGAAUCGUGAAAAUAUGAGACAGCAAGUGAUUCUGUAUAUUAACGAACUUUGAGGAGGAACACAAAAGCAACACAAAAGCGAAACUAAUAACCCAAAACAUCCCUGCCAUGUCUGCAUAAAUUUAUAAUCACCAUCCUCUUCUUCAACAUCAUCUCUCUCUCUCUCUCUCUCUCUCUCUCUCUCUCUCUNGGGGGGGGGGGGGGGGGGGGUAGUCAAAUCAAGAAAAUAUAUGCUGCCAAAUUUAGGUCCAAAGACAAAAAUUAAAAUUUCAAGAUCACAAGUCCUACUACAAAGCUUUCUUUUAAAUUAUAGUUUUUAUUUUUUAUAGUUUUAAUUUUUAAUUUUUUUAAUUUUUGAGCAAAUCUUUUUUAUUACAGUUUAUUGUUCAGUAUAAAAGAAGGAACUACUCAGAUAAAUAGUCUUCAGCUCCACUAUAGUGAUCAUCAGCAUCAAUGUGGUGCACACCCUUUCCAUCCACGCUGAAUCUUCCCUUUGAAGGUAUAUAAUCCUGCUAAUAAGCACGCCAUGAGACGAUAUUGAUAUAAUAGCUAAAAUAAUGAACAGAAUCGAAGAAUCAAGAGUAACAUCAAACAAAACCUCAGCAUCGUUCAAUUCUCUGGCAGAAACAGUGGAUCUGUUCCGAACUGUCACUCUUUCAGGCACAGGAAAUUGUUCAAUUUCAUCACUUGAUUUUCCUUCUGCCGCCCUCUUUUUUCUUAACAUGAGCUUUGUUGGAACAGGCUACAUUAAGUUCGACGUGAAUUAGAACAAAGAGGCACCCUCUAUGGAAUUUACAAGCUAAAAAUUAUAAACUUACCAGGUAUCUGGCUUCUGAUUCGCCUAAUGCCAACAGAUAUGUAGUAGGGUCAUCUGCAUCAUCACCUCGAACCUGUGGAACCAUUAUCAAGAUACGUUAUGCAAACAGCUGCAGUAAAAGUCAUUUGAAACUGACAAUAAGCUACAUUACGUACAUCCCAGUGAUACUCUCUGAUCCAUGAAUAAGAAAUCUCUUCAUUUUCGUCAUCCAUAUCCUUCUUUAUCUGCAACCAUUCACACCAAAUUAGCUCAGCAAAAAUCAUCGCUACAUCAAUAAAAUAUUUAGAACAUUUUUCACUUUUUAAAAUUCUUUACCUCACCAAUUGAUGGCACCAUGUAUGACAAAAAUUUAUCAGGUCGGUCUGCACUCGAGCUUGAAGCCAUAAAACUUUUCAUUAUUGCCUGUACAGUGUAUGGAUAAAUUAAAGUGUCGGUCUGUACUCGAGCUUGAAGCCAUAAAACUUUUCAUAAUUGCCCAUACAGUGUAUGGAUAAAUUAAAGUUCCAGCAUUAAUCCUAUAUACUCCAAUCUUUGCUUGUCAAAGAACAUCCCCGGUAGAGUUUUAAGUAUCUAUCAAUAAAACUAUCUGAACAAACUCUUCCCUUAGCAUCUAACGAAAUUAGAAGUAACUGAGAAACCAGGAGGUUAUCCUAGGAAUAAAAACUAGGCUUGCAAAGGAGAUGAUCAUUACAAAUUUUUUUCAAUUAUAUAGGAUUUAGAUAUCGAGAGUCCGCCAACAAUUGAAACCGGGGGGUGGGAACAAAUGACUCGAGAAAGAAAAAUCAAGGAGCAGAUUGAAACAUGUACCAAAAAAUGUAGAAAACUUGAUAGCUGUUAAGAAGCUCUAAGAUAUUCAUUUUCUAGUAUAGCAUUUCAGAAAAUGACGCAUCUCAACUUCCUUUAUCCCUCCCUAUAACUGAGUAGAUCAAAGGUGACAGAACAAAGCAGGAGAUUCCCAAUUUGCACGCUCCAACUACNUCUCUCUCUCUCUCUCUCUCUCUCUCUCUCUCUCUCUGUUAUACAUAUACACAUAUAUUGGCGUGCAGGUGUGUAGCUAUGUAUUCAUCACCUUCAUCUUCUUCUUCAAAAGCUCCUGUAAACCACCUGCACCUGCACCUCCACCUCC